rnacentral:tRNA from 1 species
GGGGAUUUAGCUCAGUGGCAUAAGCACCUGCCUUGGAAGCAGAAGGUCGUGAGUUCGAUCCCCGGUACCCA